rnacentral:lncRNA from 1 species
GUGGUUUGUGGUUGUAUCCACAGGUCUCCGGUGGAUUCCGAAUAUCGUCUAUGACUUUUGGUCACUCCGGAUUUUGGUAUACCAUACCUUCUCAUCACGGCUUCCUUCAGUCAUAUCCGAGAGUUUAAGGGAUGGAUUUUAUCCAAAGCUUUCUCCUCUUGGUUCAAUUUGUAUAUUCAUAUUCCAUUGACACCGAAGUAGGGAUUUCACAGCAUAGAAUUUGGCUUUCGGUUCUCGGAGGUCACAAUAGUGGAGACAUUUCUCGGGUAGUAAUUCUAGUCUCAAAGGUUAUAAGAACUCAAAUAAAGAACUCUCUUUAUUAAUGUGGGAACCGAAAUUCGUAC